ACUUUUUUUUUAAGUGUGAAGGGUCAAACAAAAAAAAUAGGCUAAAUUACAGAAAACCCCCGUGUCAUAACCCGCGUUUUCACUUUCCCCUCCUGUCAUUUAAAAAUCUACACUUUGCCCCCUUGUAAAAUGAAAAAUAUGCACUUCACCCUUGCCGUUAGCGAUCCGUUAGGGUUCCGUUAUAAAAUAUUUUUUUAUGCCAAAAAUACCCCUCUGCCCUCUUCCUAUUGCUUCGCUUUCUCCGCCUCGCCGCAGCCUCGCCGCCGACACCGUCCUUUUCCCGCUGACACCAUCCUUUUCCCACUGCACCUCCGCAAGCAUCUCUAAUGGCGUCGUCCUUCUGCUCUAUCCCUCUCCACUCGAUCCAAAACCCUCUCUUCCCCCUCCUCUGCCGUAGUGUCACGAAACCCUCUCUACCUCUCCAUCUCCUCUCCCGCCCCCGAUCACCAUCUCUCCGCCCCUCUGCCAAGCUCCGCCUCUCCGAGAUCAUGGGCGGCCGCGGCCUCUGCAAUGGCGAAGAGGGCCUCCUCAAGGAGCUCACCCGCCCUGCGGGGGAGGCGGCGGCGGCGGCGCCUCCUCCUCCGCCGCCGACGCAGCCGCAACCCUCGCCCCUCGGGAUCGAUGAUGGGGCCUUCGAGAAGGAGCUCCUAGGGCUCACGGGAGGGUUCCCGGGGGGCGAUUGAGUCUGCGGAUGAGAAGAAUGAGGGAGAAGACGAAAAGGCGAAGGACAAAAUGAUCAUUUUUCACACCGUAUCCCCCUGUGCACAUUUUUUAUUUUACAAGGGGGCAAAGUGUAGGUUUUUAAAUGACAGGGAGGAAAGUGAAAAAGCAGGUUAUGACAGGGGGGUUUUUUGUAAUUUAGCCACAAAAAUAAAUAAAAGUUCAGAAGCUUGUUCACACAGCUCUAAAAUUUAGAGGGGUCUUGGUACAUUUCGCAACAAAAAGAAUAGGGCUAGUUCAUAUAGGUCUAUGUAAAUAUAGUGAAUAUCAAUUGUAUCCCUAUAAAGUUCAACGGCCAAUUUGCAUAAAAAAUCCACUUAUUUUGGGCUUUUGCAAAACCGGGCCACCUUUUUCGUUUUUGCAGAUUCGGUCCACUUUUUCAGCAAACUGACCAAAAUACCCUUUUUACUUUUUCUCUUUCCUCUUUCUCUCUCCUCUUCGUUUCUCUCGUUCUUUUUUUUUUUUCUCGCCGGUAGAGCGGAGGCGGAGCGGAGGCGGAGCGGAGGCAGAAACGGUCUGUCUCGCCUCUCACCCUCAUGCUCUCGCCCUCGCCCUUGCCUUCGUCCAUGCACCCCCACCUUCCUCGCCUCCGACCCCGUUAAGGCCGCGCCGCGACUUUUUUUUUUUUGCUUUUUUCUUUUCUUUUCUUCUCCGACUCUUCUCCACAGUCUCCGAUGACGACGCCUCUCGCCCUUCCCCGCCCUUCUCAUCUCUCCCUCUGCCUCAUUUUCUGCCGCCUCCGACAACGAUUUAUCUUCGCCGGCACCGACGUCGACACCGUAGAGGUCACUGCGGCGUUACAGCCUCGGAGCGGGGGUCCUUAGCAGCGUCGUCACCGGCGCCGUAGCUGUUGGCAGAGAAGGUGACAAAAAAAUUAUAGAAAAAACAGAAAAAAAAAAUAAAGAUAAAAAAUUAUAUAAAAAGAAUGAUGAAGAUGAAAUUACAUCGUUAAUUACAAAAAAAAUUAUAAGUUGCACUAUUUAAGAUGUAAACUUCUGCUUUAAGAUAAAAAUUAUACUCUUUGAACGAAAAUUAUAUUAUUUUUUAUCUUAAACUGCAUCCUUUUAAGUGAUAUUUAUACUGUUUCUCCUAUUGUUGCACUGUUUUUCCUGUUAUUGUACUAUUUCUCCUCUUAUUUACACAGAAAUGGUGCAACAAGAGAAGAAACAGUGCAACAAGAGGAGAAACAGUAUAAAUAUCUCUUAAAAAGGUGCAGUUUCUCCUCUUAUUGCAUUGUUUCUCCUCUUGUUGCACUAUUUCUCCUAUUGUUUACACAGAAAUGGUGCAACAAGAGAGAAACAGUGCAACAAGAGAAGAAACAGAUAUAUCUCUUAAAACAGUGCAGUUUCUUCUCUCGUUGCACUAUUUCUCCUAUUGUUUACACAGAAAUGGUGCAACAAGAGGAGAAACAGUAUAUAUAUCUCUUAAAACAGUGCAGUUUCUUCUCUUCUUGCACUAUUUCUCCUCUGUUGCACUAUUUCUCCUCUUAUUUACACAGAAAUGGUGCAACAAGAGGAGAAAUAGUAUAAAUAUCUCUUAAAAGGGUGUAGUUUAAGAUAAAAAAUAGUGUAACAAGAGGAGAAAUGGUGCAACAAGAGGAGAAAUAGUGCAACUUUUAUUUAAAGAGUGUAACUUUCAUCUUAAUGGAUGCAAUUUAUAUCUGAAAGAGUGUAAUAAGAAGAGAAACAGUAUAAAUAUUUUUCAAAGAGUGUAAUUUUCGUUUAAAAAGUGUAGUUUUCAUCUUAAAGCUGCAGUUUACAUAUUAAAUAGUGCAACUUAUAAUUUUUUUUGCAGUUAACGAUACAAUUUGAUGUUCAUCCUUCUUUUUAUAUAAUUUUUUAUCUUUUUUUUUUCUGUUUUUUCUAUAAUUUUUUUUUGUCACCUUCUCUGCCAACAGCCACGGUGCCGGGGACGACACCGGUAAGGACCCCCGCUCCGAGCCUGUAGCGCCGCAGUGACCUCCACGGUGUCGACGUCGGCGCAGGCGAAGAUGCAUCGUCGUCGGAGGCGGCAGAGAAUGAGGGAGAGGGAGAGAUGAGAAGGGCGGGGAAGGACGAGAAGGACUAGAGAGCCAUCGUCGUCGGAGACGGUGGAGAAGAGUCGGAGAAGAAAAGAAAAGAAAAAACCAAAAAAAAAAAAAAAGUCGUGGCGCGGCCUUGGCGGGGUUGGAGGCGAGGAACGUAGGGGGUGCGUGGACGAAUGCAAGGGCGAGGGCGAGGGCGAGGGCUAGAGAAUGAGGGUGAGAGGCGAGACGGACCGUUUCCGCCUCCGCUCUGCCGGCGAGAAAAAAAAAGAACGAGAGAAACGAAGAGGAGAGAGAAAGAGGAAAGAGAAAAAGUAAAAAGGGUAUUUUGGUCAGUUUGCUAAAAAAGUGGACCGAAUCUGCAAAAACGAAAAAGGUGGCCCGGUUUUGCAAAAGCCCAAAAUAAGUGGAUUUUUUAUGCAAAUUGGCCAAGUUCAACUUUCAUAUAUCUUUCAUAUAUUAUUUCUAUAAAAGUUCUAAUAUUUUUCAAAUAUGUCCCAUUGGUUUUUUACUGCUAGAGAACCAUUAGAAAAUUAUUUAUAUUUUCAAUUUUGCCAUCGUAAACAUGUCUCUCCAAAAGUCAUAACAGUAUACUAUAAGAGGGACAAAAAUGUCAAAAACUAACUAGAGUUAAGCAUUUAACCUUUCGUUAAUUAAAAUUUUCUAACGGAUUUUAAUGGUAGGGACAUAUUUAAAAACAUCAGAACUUUUGUAGGGACAACAUAUAAAAGUUGAACUUUGUAGGGGGAUAUUUACUAUUCACUAUAUUUGUAGAGAUUUGUAUGAAAUUAAUCCAAAAAAAAAAGGCUAAAUUAUAGAAAACUUUUCUGUUAAAAUUCGAUUUUUUACUUUUCCCCCCUGUCAUUUAAAAACCUACACUUUGUCGCCUUGUGAAAUGAAAAAUGUGCACUUCACUCCCUACCGUUAGUGAUCCGUUAGGAUUUCGUAAUAAAAUACUUUUUUAUACCAAAAAUAUCCUUCUGCCCUCUUCCCUGUUGCUUCGCCUCCUUCCGGCUCGCCGCCUUGCCGUCGCCUCGCCGCCUCGCCGCCUCGCCCUCCUCCACUGCCUCGCCCUCGCCCACAUCCCAUUCGUCCUCCUCCGCCGCCUCGCCUUCGCCCUCGUUGCCCUUGCCUACCUCUUUAUCAACGCCCACCUCGAUUUCCUCCCUACUGUCGUCGAAAUCGAGGGGCGGCGAGGGUGCAGGAGGAGAAGGGGAACAGGUGGAGAAGAAAAUGGAGAGAAAUCGUGGCCGAUCGAGGUGUGAAUUACGGCCGAUCGAGACGGUGGUUGAGGAAAAUAAUGGAGGAGACGAAAAUGGUGAGGGGCAAAAUGGCCAUUUUACACACCGUACCCCCUCUGUGAAUAUUUUUUAUUUUACAAGGGGGCAAAGUGUAGGUUUUUAAAUUACAGGGAGGGAAGUAAAAAAUUGAGUUUUGACAUGCGGAUUUUAUGGAAUUUAGCCAAAUAAAAAAAAAAAAAGAAAAAAA
rnacentral:lncRNA from 1 species